rnacentral:rRNA from 1 species
GUUGUCCUGAUUUAUUGGGCGUAAAGAGCGUGUAGGCGGCUUGGUAGGUCCGCUGUGAAAACUCGAGGCUCAACCUCGAGAUGUCGGCGGAAACCACUUGGCUAGAGUCCGGAAGAGGAGAGUGGAAUUCCUGGUGUAGCGGUGAAAUGCGCAGAUAUCAGGAAGAACACCUAUGGCGAAGGCAGCUCUCUGGGACGGUACUGACGCUGAGACGCGAAAGCGUGGGGAGCAAACAGG